UCCUACGGGAGGCAGCAGUAGGGAAUCUUGCGCAAUGGGCGAAAGCCUGACGCAGCGACACCGCGUGGAGGAUGAAGGUUUUCGAAUCGUAAACUCCUGUCAAUAGAGGAAGAAGGUAUUAUAGGUUAAUAGCUUAUAAUAUUGACGGUACUCUGUAAGGAAGCCCCGGCUAACUACGUGCCAGCAGCCGCGGUAAUACGUAGGGGGCAAGCGUUUUCCGGAUUUAUUGGGCGUAAAGCGCACGCAGGUGGCUUUUUAAGUCGGAUGUGAAAUCUCUUAGCAAAACUAAGAAAAUGCAUCCGAAACUGGAUUGCUUGAGGUCGGGAGAGGAGAGUGGAAUUCUCGGUGUAGCGGUGAAAUGCGCAGAUAUCGAGAAGAACACCAUUAGCGAAGGCGGCUCUCUGGAACGAUACUGACACUAAGGUGCGAAAGCUAGGAUAGCAAACAGGAUUAGAUACCCCGGUAG
rnacentral:rRNA from 1 species